rnacentral:lncRNA from 1 species
GCCUCCUUGAGGUGUGGUGGGCUCCACCCAGUUCGAGCUUCCCAGCUGCUUUGUUUACCUAAGCAAGCCUGGGCAAUGGCGGGCGCCCCUCCCCCAGCCUUGCUGCCGCCUUGCAGUUUGAUCUCAGACUGCUGUGCUAGCAAUCAGCGAGACUCCGUGGGCGUAGGACCCUCCCAGCUAUGUGCGGGAUAUAAUCUCGUGGUGCGCCGUUUUUUAAGCCGGUCGGAGAAGCGCAAUAUUCGGGUGGGAGUGACCCAACUUUCCAGGGUAUGAGAAUGACUUUUUCAAUGAGACCAUUUCCAUUACAGUAACACCGAUGGAGCUGGUGGCCAUUAUCCUAAGCAAACUAACGCAGGAACAGAAAAUCCGAUGCCACAUAUUCUUACUCAUUAGUGGAAACUAAACAAUGAGAACACAUGAACACAAAGAGGAGAAGAAGACACCAGGGCCUACUUGAGGGUGGAGGGCAGCAGGAGGGAGAGCACCAAAAAACUACCUAUCUGGUAUUUUGCUUAUUAUCUGGCUGAUGAAAUAAUCUGUAGCCCAAAUCUCCAUGAUAUAGUUUACCUAUAUAACAAACCUGCACAUGUACCCUUAAAACUAAAAUUAAAGUCCACUAAAAAGAAAAGAAAAUGCCUUUUCCCUCACAUUUGCCAAUACUGGUUAUUUUUCAAAUAAAUUAAUGACUGGAAAAAAUGGUAACACAUUGUUUGCUGAUUUUCAUUCUUCUGAUUACCAGACAAGGCUGCAUAUCCUAGUAAAAGUAUAAAAUUUGUUCAUCAUGAAUAUUAGCCCAAAUUAGGAUUAGUUUGAAUGCACAUAGUUAUCUCCUGUUAAAUGUUGCCAUAGGCUUACCUAUGAUAUUCUUCAUUCUCUGUGCUAGG